AGAGCUGAGGUGUGGACUCCAGGCCCGGACUGGAGAAGGUCGAGGGGGAUCCUGACCCAGAACAUGCAAGAAGGCAGGUUACACAGGAGCAAGUGGAGGAAAGCAGACCUCAGUGCUCUGCCAUCUGUGAAGCUCAGCCUAAGGGUGACCUUCAGGAGCCCCCUCAUUGUGACCAGGAGUGGGAAGCCCUGGGCCUCUUCUACCUCUUCCACGGGCAGUGGAGCUGAGCCUGUGUUGCAGCUGCUCCCUCAGGCGGUCAUUAAUACAGAUGGACUCCUCCAGGCGCUGGCGAAGAUUCCGGAUUUCACCAAGAUGCUCUUCCAGCAAGUCAGCCCCUGCAGCCAUCGCGCCAAGACAGGAGGAGGAACAAAGGAGAGUCUACACUGAUUCAGGCAUCUGAAGCCUGAGGAGAAGGGAGAAAAACACCCCCAAGGAAAGAAGAAAAGAUUCAGAGAAGAUCACUGGGAGGGAUGGUAAUGACAGACCACAGCCCGGUGCCUCACUUUGCUCUGGAUGCAGCCUUGUCCUGAAAAUCACAGUUCUCUUCCUGUUGGACCUUAGCAGCAUCCCAGCAUUACCUGCAGAGUCACCCCACUCCAGACACACAGUGCAGAGCACAUGCCCUGAAACCAUGCAGAGAUACCACACAGACUCUUACACAAGAGGGUUUUAGCCCCUAGUGGCCUGAGAAGUUGCCAUGCACCACUCUCCACUUCGAAGCUUGGUUUAAAGCAAAGGAGGAGCCCUGGUAAGUGAUGAUUGCUUGGAGAACGCUGUGCUUCCUCAGGCAAAAGAAACAGCUACAAGCCUCCUCACCAAGGCUGGGACCAUCCAAACUCUGGUCAGUGACACAGACUGGCUAUGACUCCCAUUUAGCCCCCAUCAUCAGACCCUUUCUCAUGCACAGUGCUCUCCUUCUGUAUUUCCCUCUGGGCCAAGACCAACUGACACUGUGGGAAGAUGAAGGAAAAAGAGGGAAGGAAAAGAAAAGUGACCUAGAGAACAUUCUUGCCUUUUGUCAUGGAACAGAUUUGUUAUCCAUCAACUGUUGGUUCCGGAACUGCUGUAGUGGCAAGUUCUAGGUCGGAGUGAACUGCGUCUUUCUCUCAUCUUUAAAGAGAGAGAAAAGGUUGUUGCAAGGGGACCCCAGAAUGUCUUCACGAGCUAGAAGCUCUAUGCUCUGAGCAAGAUGGUAACAAAACCAUCCUAGAUAGCAAAGGUAUAAUGGCAACAUGGAAGUGGGACUCGAAGACCAAGGUUCAGGCCU